GCCAGAGUCCGAUGAUGAGGAGGAUGAGGAAGAUGACGAGGAAGAUGAUCCUGGGAGUGGCGAAAUUGACGGUGAUGAUAGGCCAUAUAGAAUGAACAACGGGCAUAGCGUGGAAGGGAUAGUCGAUGUUGAUGAGGAUGAAGAGAGUGAUGCGGAUGAGGAGGAGACAGAGACGGCGAGAGGGGUUAAUGGAUCAAGUAGGUCUUCUCACCAUCAGUCAAACGGUUUUCGGGUUGCUGCAGUGAAUGGAGAGGAGGAAGAUGAGGAUGAGGGCGAUGAUGAAGAGGACAAUGAUUCAGGGGAGGAGAUUGAUGAAGAGGAUGGUGAGGAUGAAGAUGUGAUUGAGGUUCAUGAGAUUGAGGACAGUGAUGAUGAAGAAGACGGUGUAGAAGAUGAAGAUGAUGAGGAUGAGGAUGAUGAUGAUGAGGAUGAAGAAGAGGAAGUGGAUAACGAAGAGGGGGGUUUUACAGAGCCGAGGAGUACAGGGCGGGUGAUGAGCGCGGAAGGGGAGAUUGAUG
rnacentral:lncRNA from 1 species